CAAGCGGCCAGGGGCUUGCCGGUCAAAGUGGAGAAGAUUCCCCUGGUUCUGACAGUGCUUCUUCGACAAGCUUUCCAGGGAGUAUGGAGGAGUGGCCUCACAGCCUGCAGGCUGCACCUCUUGGCGGGAUGGCUCCAUCUUCUCCAUGCCACUAAGAGGCUCCGGUUGCUGGAAACUUCCAGGCGAUGUCGUCUGAGUUGCUGUUCUCCUGACCACACUGGGGUGGUUCCGUUUCCGUCUUAAGAUGCCUCUGUUCCUCAGUGUGUUUCCAACCUUUUCCAGAGGAAAAUUGCAAGCAAGUGGCUGAUCAUUAAGGGAGAGCAGAGUGCGAAAUCUAUUGCAAACAAGGAGAUGCA
rnacentral:antisense_RNA from 1 species